ACAGAGGGUGCAAGCGUUAAUCGGAAUUACUGGGCGUAAAGGGUGUGUAGGUGGCAAAGUAAGUUAGAUGUGAAAUCCUCGGGCUUAACCUGAGAAUUGCGUUUAAUACUGCUUAGCUAGAGUACUGCAGAGGAUAGUGGAAUUUCCAGUGUAGCGGUGAAAUGCGUAGAUAUUGGAAGGAACACCAGUGGCGAAGGCGACUAUCUGGAUAGAUACUGACACUGAGACACGAAAGCGUGGGUAGCAAACAG
rnacentral:rRNA from 1 species